AAGCAUAUGCUUGUCUUAAAGACUAAGCCAUGCAUGUCUAAGUACAAGCCAAUUAAAUGGCGAAACUGCGACUGGCUGAGUAAAUCAGUUAUAAUUUAUUUGAUGAUGAUUUCAGUUGGAUAACCCUGGGAUACUAGAGCUAAUACAUGCACAAGUCCCGCAAGGGAUGCAUUUAUUAGAUUCAAAACCAAUGCAGGUGGGCAACCUCCUGGUUUGGUGAUUCAUGAUAACUCAGCGGAUCGCAUGGGCUUUGACCCGGCGACGAAUCAUUCAAAUUUCUGCCCUAUCAAGUUGACGGUAGGGUAGUGGCCUACCGUGCUUGUGACGGGUAACGGAGAAUUAGGGUUCGACUCCGCAGAAGCAGCCUGAGAGAUGGCUACUACAUCCAAGGACGGCAGCAGGUGCGCAAAUUACCCAAUGCUAAUAUCUAGCGAGGUAGUGACAAUAAAUAUCCAGAUGUGGCAUAUUAAUGCUGCGUCAUGGAAAUGAGGACAAUUUAAACUCCUUACCGAGGAACAAUUGGAGGGCAAGUCUGGUGCCAGCAGCCGCGGUAAUUCCAGCUCCAAUAGCGUAUACUUAAGUUGUUGCAGUUAAAAAGUUCGUAGUUGGAUUUUGGAAGAGCGUAACCGGCCCCCGGGAAUUUUUCUCGUGGCGUGUUGGAUUCGAUCUUCUUCUGUUCGGAAUCUACUUUUGCUAUUCAUUUAGCGACAGUUGGGACCGGACCGAUUACCUUGAAGAAAUUGGAGUGCUCAAAGCAAGCUUUUGCAAUUGAACACAUUAGCAUGGGAUAAUAAAAUAUGACUUUGGUUUUAUUUUGUUGGUUUCUAAAACUGAAGUAAUGAUUAAUAGGGACAGUUGGGGGCAUCGGUACCUGGUAGUCAGAGGUGAAAUUCUUGGAUUUACCAGAGACCAACAACUGCGAAAGCAUUUGCCAAGGAUGUUUUCGUUAAUCAAGAACGAAAGUUAGGGGAGAGAAGGCGCUUAGACACCGCCGUAUUCCUAACCAUAAACUAUGCCGACUAGGGAUUGGAAGAAGUCGAUUUAGACUCCUUCAGAACCUUGUGAGAAAUUAAGAGGUUUUGGGUUCUGGGGGGAGUAUGGUCGCAAGGCUGAAACUUAAAGGAAUUGACGGAAGGGCACACAAAGCGUGGAGCCUGCGGCUUAAUUUGACCCAACACGGGAAAACUUACCAGGUCCAGACACUUGGAGGAUUGACAGAUUGAGAGCUCUUUCUUGAUUAAGUGGUUGGUGGUGCAUGGCCGUUCUUAGUUCGUGGAGUGAUUUGUCUGCUUGAUUGCGAUAACGAACGAGACCCUCGCCUGCUAAAUAGAGACCCGAAGAUUGUAUUCGGGCACUCUUCUUAGAGGGACUUUCCAUGUAAGUGGAAGGAAGCUGGGGCAAUAACAGGUCUGUGAUGCCCUUAGAUGUCCUGGGCCGCACGCGCGCUACACUGACGGCGUCAACGAGUAUACCUGAACCGAAGGGUUUGGGCAAUCUUUUUAAACGUCGUCGUGCUGGGGAUCG
rnacentral:rRNA from 1 species